rnacentral:lncRNA from 1 species
AGGAUUUCUAAGGCAAGCCAUGACACUAUGAUGUGUCUUUUAAUUUAAUCUUCCAAUGUCCUGCCCUGCCCAAGCUGCUCCCAUGGACUGAUAGUGUUAUAGUCUCUCCUGAGCAUUCUCAUUCCUGGGGCCCCUGGGGUCCAAUAGUCAAUUUAGGAGCCCAUCUAAAGAGACUAUCUCUUUUAGGGGGCUGGCUUUAGGGUUCCCUUACCGAUGAACUGGUAAAUAUGGAUGGCAGUGGAUGCAGUUGCAUGACAGAAAGCACAUCCCAACCCCACACAAAAUAAUGAGAAAUGGAACCAAAGUCCCAGGGCUCUCCAAGCACAGAAGAAGCCACCACAUAUUCUCCAUCUCCAUCAUCUGAAGUGAGCUGAUGCCUCGGCAGCUGGGUGCAGAUAACGUGCAGCUCAGUGCAGAGCUCCAGGCCCGCAUCACAGGCUGUGGAAGGGUUACAGAUUACUCUUGUGCUCAGAAGGGGACAAAACAAUCAGCUCUCCCACUGAUCCCACCCCAGCAGGCCC